GCCCACCUAGUCUUCGAAGGAUAGGGGUUCUGAGAGGAAGGUCCCCCACAUUGGAACUGAGACACGGUCCAAACUCCUACGGGAGGCAGCAGUGAGGAAUAUUGGUCAAUGGGCGAGAGCCUGAACCAGCCAAGUAGCGUGAAGGAUGACUGCCCUAUGGGUUGUAAACUUCUUUUAUAAAGGAAUAAAGUCGGGUAUGGAUACCCGUUUGCAUGUACUUUAUGAAUAAGGAUCGGCUAACUCCGUGCCAGCAGCCGCGGUAAUACGGAGGAUCCGAGCGUUAUCCGGAUUUAUUGGGUUUAAAGGGAGCGUAGAUGGAUGUUUAAGUCAGUUGUGAAAGUUUGCGGCUCAACCGUAAAAUUGCAGUUGAUACUGGAUAUCUUGAGUGCAGUUGAGGCAGGCGGAAUUCGUGGUGUAGCGGUGAAAUGCUUAGAUAUCACGAAGAACUCCGAUUGCGAAGGCAGCCUGCUAAGCUGCAACUGACAUUGAGGCUCGAAAGUGUGGGUAUCAAACAGGAUUAGAUACCCUGGUAGUCCACACGGUAAACGAUGAAUACUCGCUGUUUGCGAUAUACUGCAAGCGGCCAAGCGAAAGCGUUAAGUAUUCCACCUGGGGAGUA
rnacentral:rRNA from 1 species